rnacentral:lncRNA from 10 species
CCCAGCACCCUCAGGCCAUCGAGGGGUCAUCUAUUACUGCUGUCCAAGGCCGUUGAGUUCAGCUUAUGGUGAUGGAAAGAGAGAUGUCAAUAAUUCCACAUUUUCUGGCUUGCAUUGUUUGAUGAAAGGUGACCCCAUUCCCUGAGUUAAAGAAUGCUGAAAGAAGACCAGGCUUGAGGAGGAAGGAUCAUGCAUUUGCUUUUGGACCUGUAGAGUUUGAGGACAUGUUCAGCACCAGGAGGAAUUUGCAUCCAAGUCCGUCUCCCUGCUAAGUGGUAUUUUGAGAAUUCCGAAGCUUAGUCUCAGAGAAGAGCUGACCUGAACUUGCCGAGGCUCCCACUGCAUUGUAGCUUUUCUCUGGAGAACAAAAACUGCCAUUGUCCAGCAGCUCAUUAGCAUGACUGUACAGCCUCCGGAGUUAGCAAGGUGAUGCAAAAAUAAUAUGACAAGAUCCAUGUCUUCAAUGAGCUACAAUCCUACUGGGACAUGAGACUGUGCUUAUAAUAUGAUGAAAGAAUAAGAAAAUUUUAAAGAUGAAAACACAGCAGCAACAGGUGCCAUUUUGGAAGCAAGAAGCAGAGAACAAGCUCUCACUGGGCAUUAAAUCUGCCGGCAUCUUGAUCUUGAACUUCUCAACCUCCAGAACUCUGAGAAAUAAAUUUCUAUUAUUUACAAAUUACCCAGUCUAAGGUGUUUUGUUAUAGCAGCUCAAACAAAUUAAGAUAUCUGUUUAUUGCUUUUGGUAUGUGUUUGUGUUUUAAUUUUCUUGGAAGGUAGAGCAGAGAGACAAAAAUCACCAAAUUUUGGUGACAUGGUUGAAGCUCUGGGUCAAACCAAUCUUUGAGUCCAGCCUCUGAACCUCGCAUUAAAGUCCUUUAUAGUUUAGAUUGGUUAGGAUUAGGUCUCUUGAUGUUUGUUUUCACCUUGAGGGUUCCUAACUGCUACGGGGAGUCAGUGUGAUUUAACUCUAAGUGAAGAAGAACAGUUUAGAGGGAUGAUCCUGCACAUCUGCAUGGUGAUUGAAUUUAUGUCUCCUAUAAUUGUAUAUACAAAAUGAAAGUUUGGACUCUACAGGACAGGAGACUUUCCCCAACUUCUACCCUCCUUUAUCUUUUGCUGAUUAGUAUUGCAACAGGCACCUAACCAAACUCUCUGGCUCUGGGCCUGUGCUGUGUCUUCUAAUCUUCACACAGCUGCCAGCAUUAUCUUUAAAAGACAGAUCUUAUUAUUUUACACACAAAACAGACACACAUCUCCAUGCAGCAUCUGCUUAAAGUGUUUCUGUGGUUCCUGAUUGCUGACUGGAUUUCACUCAACUUUUUAGCAUGGCCCACAUGGAGCUACCUCUGCCCCACCUUUUCAGUUUCAACUCUUAGGACCCUCUCCUACAAACAUUGGGGUUCACUGUACCCUGAACAUGUGAUAGUCUUGCGUGUCUCCAAGCCUUUGCAUCUGCUAUUCCCCAUGCAUGCAAGGUCUUGCUCUUACUUUCUGUACAGGAGAACUCCUCUUCACCUUUGAAAACCCUCAACUCAAAUACCAAUUGGUUAAGACAUAUUUCUUGAUGUCCCCUGACAGAACCACUAGGAUGUGUAUGACUUAUUAUAGGAAUUUGACAUUUCACAACUGUGGGCGCUAGUUAGUUGGUAAACAGCCUUUGGGAGGUUGUUGUGUUUAUCUUGAAGGCAGGAAGUUGAAAAGGGAAAAUGGAAAAGAAGAACAAAUUGGGACCUGAAUGGUGCCUAUGAGGAUGAACUGGAACCCGUGUUGGUCUGGAACCUUGGUUGGAAAUCCAAGCUUUCAACUUUAAUGAUGCGGAUGUUCUGCAAGAGAAGCUGGUGCACUUUUUCAUGCUUGAUAUGCACCUGGCCCAGGAGUCAGAGAAGCUGAAAAACGAUCCAGCAGGAGCUGGAGUCUGUGUGGGCCUUGUUGUUGCACCACCGUCCGCCUCCAGGCAAGACAACUG